CCUACGGGAGGCAGCAGUGAGGAAUAUUGGUCAAUGGCCGGAAGGCUGAACCAGCCAAGCCGCGUGAAGGAAGAAGGAUCUAUGGUUUGUAAACUUCUUUUAUAGGGGAAUAAAGGUAUCCACGAGUGCAUAAUUGCAUGUACCCUAUGAAUAAGCAGCGGCUAACUCCGUGCGAGCAGCCGCGGUAAUACGGAGGAUGCGAGCGUUAUCCGGAUUUAUUGGGUUUAAAGGGUGCGUAGGUUGGGUUUUAAGUCAGCGGUUAAAGUUUGGGGCUCAACCACCAAAGUGCCGUUGAAACUGGAAGUCUUGAGUUUGUGUGAGGUAGGCGGAAUGCGUGGUGUAGCGGUGAAAUGCAUAGAUAUUACGAAGAACUCCGAUUGCGAAGGCAGCUUACUAAGCGAUAACUGACACUGAAGCACGAAAGCGUGGGGAUCAAACAGGAUUAGAUACCCCUGUAGUC
rnacentral:rRNA from 1 species